rnacentral:misc_RNA from 1 species
ACCUACUGUUUAAUUUUGAGGGUUCGUUUUUACGAAUACUCAAAAUUAGCACUUUAAGCAACGGAAUUUAUUCGUUGGCGCUGUGCGUUAGCACUUUAAGCAACGGGAUUUAUCCGUUGGCGCUGUGCGUUAGCACUUUGAAAACUGCAUAUAUAUUUAGUGAUAUGACAUCUAAUUUGUAAUAUAUAAAGCUGAUAACUUUUUAAAAUUAUCGAAGUUGAUAGCUUCUAAUCUAUCAAACCUUUUUAACUGGUCAA